UACGUAGGUGACAAGCGUUGUCCGGAUUUACUGGGCGUAAAGGGCGCGUAGGCGGUCGUGACAAGUCACUUGUGAAAUCUCCGGGCUUAACUCGGAACGGUCAAGUGAUACUGUCGGACUAGAGUACAGAAGGGGCAACUGGAAUUCUCGGUGUAGCGGUGAAAUGCGUAGAUAGUCGGGAGGAACACCAAUGGCGAAGGCAGCUUGCUGGGACGGUACUGACGCUGAGGCGCGAAAGCGUGGGGAGCAAACAGGG
rnacentral:rRNA from 1 species